rnacentral:rRNA from 1 species
GACGAACGCUGGCGGCGUGCCUAAUACAUGCAAGUCGAACGCAGUGGGGACGGGUGCGUAACACGUGGGUAACCUCCCCAUCAGAGGGGAUAAAACUUGGAAACCGGUGCUCAACCGAUACUUAUGUAUGGACCCUCGGUGCAUUAGCUCGUUGGUGAGGUAACGGCUCACCAAGGCCACGAUGCAUAGCCGACCUGAGAGGGUGACCGGCCAAACGGGGACUGAGACACGGCCCAGACUCCUACGGGAGGCAGCAGUAGGGAAUCUUCGGCAAUGGACGAAAGUCUGACCGAGAAACGCCGCGUGAGUGAAGAAGGUUGUCGGAUCGUAAAGCUCUGUUGUUAGAGAAGCGGUAUCUAACCAGAAAGCCACGGCUAACUACGUGCCAGCAGCCGCGGUAAUAC